UACGGGGGGAGCAAGCGUUGUUCGGAUUUACUGGGCGUAAAGGGCGCGUAGGCGGUCAGCACAAGUCAGUUGUGAAAUCUCCGGGCUUAACUCGGAAAGGUCAACUGAUACUGUGCGACUAGAGUGCGGAAGGGGCAACUGGAAUUCUUGGUGUAGCGGUGAAAAUGCGUAGAUAUCAAGAGGAACACCUGCGGCGAAGGCGGGUUGCUGGGCCGACACUGACGCUGAGGCGCGAAAGCCAGGGGAGCGAACGGG
rnacentral:rRNA from 1 species